AAACACGAAAUCUGCUUGGUGAACCUCGUUGGACACAUGGUUGUUCAGAGAAAUCGCAUUGUGCGCGAAGUAAUCCACAGGGAACCUGUUCAAUUUGUUGUGACUCGGAAUUAUGUAACCGUAACUGUACCAUUCAAUCAACAAUAGCUCCUCCAACUACAACGACAAUUGUACCAACAACGCUUAUUCCUCAGACAGCUCCAAUUGUACAUCAAGUUGUUAUCAAUCCAACAAAUAUAAGAUAUGGCGAUACAGUGACGAUCCAAUGCGUUGCCACCGGAAAUCCUAGUCCGACAAUAGAUUUCCUAACACGGGGUGGCUCAUUAGGCACAAAUAUACUAGUAGAUCCGCAUACACAUGUUCUUACAAUACGGAAAUUUUUACCUUAUGAUGACGGAGAUUACAGAUGUAUAGCUGCAAAUUCAUUGGGUGAUGAUCAUAAAGAUUUCCACUUACAAGGACACUAACACUUUAAUUGGUUGUUUGAAAAUAAAUGAACUGAUAUGUAAUUA